CGAUUACCCAUUCUGCGUCUUUCCCUUUUUCUCUUCCGUUUUCUGCCCUCGUCCUCAACGCUCCGAUUCUCCCACGCUUCCUUGCACAGGUUCUUGUUCAUCGCACUCUUCCCCGAUUUCCCUGGUUACAGGUUAGUUUUCCAGAGUAUCAAAAUUUUUGUUUUUGUUGCGUCUUGGUCUUUUUGGAAUUAGAGGCAUAGCAGUGCAACGACGAUCACCUAACUAAAGAAGAAGUAAUCGACAGAGUCUUCGAUGUUGUCAAAAGCUUCCCCAAAGUCGAUCCUUCCAAGAUGCCACAUCCUUGAAUGUCAAUACACUGGUUACUGCUGAAUGGGUUCCCAACUCUGAAGCUAAAGAUCCAGUCUAUUCGUGUUGAAGGUCGAUUAGAUGAGAAGGUUAGUUCAGACAUGGAAAUCGACAAGCAAGGUACUGAGUCUAAUUUAUGUAUGAUUUUGUAGCUACCUAAUUAUGAUUUCGAGAGUUUCCCUUUAGAACUAGCAAUAUUAGAGAUGAAAUGAUUUUGUAGCUAUCUAAUUAUGAUCUCGAGAGUUUCCCUUUAGAACUAGCAAUAUUAGAGAUGAAAUGAUACAUCAUAUUCAUACACAGAUAAAUAACUCAAACAUGAGAAGAAGAUGUGUUAUUCAAAAUCUGUAAAAUAUGAAUUAUUAAUUAUGAAUUAUUAUACGAUGAUAACAUGACUGUUAGCAGAACAUGGCAUAGAUACACAAAUUAUUAGGUAACAUGUUUUCUUUUCUAGGAAAUUGACUCCUUAUUUGCAUGAUUUGGCCAUUUGAACGAGAUGAAAUAUUUGUUCUAGUGUUGCCCAUUUCAUAUGUUUUGCCAACAUUAAUUGCUUGACAUAGAAUAGUUAAGAAAGCGAUAAGAUAUAUGCUUUAAGGAUCUUUUAGUCUUGUGUUUCUAUGUUAUAUUUGCUAGAUUAAUUGCUUGUGUGAUGCUUUCUCCAUUUUUGCAAGAGCUGGUGGAAAUUGUUAUGAUUGGUGUUUGUUCUGUUAACAUAUUUAAGCAAUCUUUAGUGUGUUCAAUGUUGGCAAGAUGUUCAAAAUGUUAAAAAAGUGUCUGAAGACUGCUAAUGGUUAUGGCUGGUAAGACUCUUUGAUAAUUUAAUUCCAUUUUCAUUUGGUUGUCCUUACAUGUUUCUGUUUCCUAGAUUGAGUUAGCCUUUUAUGCUUGUGAUUUCAAUUUUGAGUUUUGACUUAUUUUUAGUCAUACUUAAAUGCACUGAGUUUUGACUAGCGGCUUUAAUAGCUGCUGUUACAUUGGGUGAAGAAUUCUACUUGGGAGGGUAAGCCUUAACUUUUAACCCAUACAUUGUUGCCUACAAUCAUACUUUGCAGGGUCGGAGUGACUUUGAAUAUAGCUUGCAAAAUAUGUGAAACUUGCAGGGUAGUAGGAGCAGCAUUGAUAAUGGCUGGAUUGUAUCUGGUUAUCCUAGGAAAAAGUGAAGAGAGCAAGUAUUUGUCUGAAAAUGAACCAAUCUAUUCAAUGUCUGAAAAUAAUGACAUGGAAUCCACCUUCAUUCGGCCGUUGU